UUUGAUUGGUAAAUUGUUUAUGUUUUAGUGUUUUAGGUUUAUUUGCCUUUUGCAUCAUGCUUAAUGGAUUUUUAUAAAGUAUUUUUCGAAUCGAAUAGUUUAGAUCUUAGUAUCAGUUGUUUAGAAUGUAAUUUUGCGUUAAGUUAAUUCAGAUAAAUUGGUUUUAUGAUGUGAUAAGUUAUUCGUUAAAUUUUAUUUCUAUUUAGUUACUUAAGUAUUUUAUAUUAUGUGAUAAGUUAAAAGAUUUGUCAUAGUGUUAUACUAUAAAUAGAAUUUUAUUAAGAUUAGGUUAAAGGUACCUAUUUUUUGUAAAUUUGUUAUAAAAUAUAAUUAAGCUAGAUUUAUAGUUAAAUUACGUGGUAACUUAGAUUAAUGUAUGGUUUGUUAUUUAUCAUUAAAUAAGUAAUUAAAAUACGCUAAUUAUUUCUCAGGGUCUUUCCGUCUGUUUAUUAAAAACAUUUCUAGUUUGAAUUUUAGCUAGUAGUGCCUGCCCAGUGUUGAUUUAGACGAUAAAUGGCCGCAGUAUCUUGACUGUGCAAAGGUAGCAUAAUUAAUUGCCUUUUAAUUGGGGGCUUGUUUGAAUGGUUUGACGUGAGAGAUGUGAAUAUUUGGUGUUAAUAUGAAUUUGAUAUUGGGAAUACAGAAUUUCCAUAGUUUAAUAAGACGGAAAGACCCUGGGAUCUUUCUUUUUUGCUUGGGGCAAGUUUUAGUGUUUUACUAUAAUUUGGACCCUAGUUAUAGUUUAGUGGGUUAAGUUACCCCAGGGAUAACAGUGUGAUAAUUAAUAAGAGAUCUUAUCGAAUUAAUUGUUUGCCACCUCGAUGUUGACUUAGAUUAAGACUUAGGUGCAGUAGUCUAGGUUUUUGGUCUGUUCGACCUUAUUUAUCUUCAUGAGUUGAGUUAAGACCGGCGUGAGCCAGGUCGGUUCUUAUCUAUUGGAGAAGUUUAUCAGUACGAAAGGAUAGUAAGCUUUUUUGUU
rnacentral:rRNA from 1 species